ACAUCCAAGGAAGGCAGCAGGCGCGUAAAUUACCCAAUCCUGACACAGGGAGGUAGUGACAAUAAAUAACAAUGCCGGGCCUUUGUAGGUCUGGCAAUUGGAAUGAGAACAAUUUAAACCCCUUAUCGAGUAUCAAUUGGAGGGCAAGUCUGGUGCCAGCAGCCGCGGUAAUUCCAGCUCCAAUAGCGUAUAUUAAAGUUGUUGCAGUUAAAAAGCUCGUAGUUGGAUUUGUGGCUGUCUCGAGCGGCCUAGCACCUAGUGUUAGUGCCUGCUUGGGUCGCCAUCCUUGGGUGGAGCCUGUGUGGCAUUAGGUUGUCGUGCAGGGGAUGCCCAUCGUUUACUGUGAGAAAAUUAGAGUGUUCAAAGCAGGCUUAUGCCGUUGAAUAUGUUAGCAUGGAAUAAUAAGAUAGGACCUCGGUACUAUUUUGUUGGUUUGCGCACGAGGUAAUGAUUAAUAGGGACAGUUGGGGGUAUUCGUAUUCCAUU
rnacentral:rRNA from 1 species